GUAAGAGCAUUUGGUGGAUGCCUUGGCAUGUGCAGGCGAUGAAGGACGUGGCACGCUGCGAUAAGCGUCGGGGAGAUGUGAGCAAUCUUUGAUCCGGCGAUUUCCGAAUGGGGAAACCCACCCUCACCAUUUCCUUUCGAUUGUUUUCGGACAGUCGGAAAGAGGUGGAUAGGGUAUCACCAGACUGAAUACAUAGGUUUGGUGAAGCGAACCCGGGGAACUGAAACAUCUCAGUACCCGGAGGAAAAGACAUCAACAGAGAUUCCCGUAGUAGUGGCGAGCGAACCGGGACCAGGCCAGUGCCUUCAUUUCAACUAGCAAAACACUUUGGAAAGAGUGGCCAUAGCGGGUGACAGCCCCGUAUGCGAAAGUGAUGAUGAAGGACUCGAGUAGGGCGGGACACGUGAAAUCCUGUCUGAACAUGGGGGGACCACCCUCCAAGCCUAAAUACUCGCACAUGACCGAUAGCGAACACAGUACCGUGAGGGAAAGGUGAAAAGCACCCCGAUUAGGGGAGUGAAACAGUACCUGAAACCGGAUGCUUACAAGCAGUUGGAGCCCCAUAGGGGGUGACAGCGUACCUCUUGCAUAAUGGGUCAGUGACUUAAUCUACCAUGCAAGCUUAAGCCGUUAGGUGUAGGCGCAGCGAAAGCGAGUCUGAAUAGGGCGACUGAGUAUGAUGGAUUAGACCCGAACCCCGGCGAUCUAGGCAUGGCCAGGUUGAAGGUGCAGUAACAUGCACUGGAGGACCGAACCGGUGAAUGUUGAAAAAUUCUCGGAUGAGCUGUGUUUAGGGGUGAAAGGCCAAUCAAGCCGGGAAAUAGCUGGUUCUCCGCGAAAUCUAUUGAGGUAGAGCGUCGGAUGUAUGCCGAUGGGGGUAGAGCACUGGAUGGGCUAGGGCUGCGCGAGCGGUACCAAACCUAACCAAACUCCGAAUACCAUCGAGUCUUAUCCGGCAGACAGACGGCGGGUGCUAAGGUCCGUCGUCAAAAGGGAAACAGCCCUAACCUACAGCUAAGGUCCCCAAGUCAUAUCUAAGUGGGAAAGCAUGUGGGAAUCCCAAAACAACCAGGAGGUUGGCUUAGAAGCAGCCAUCCUUUAAAGAAAGCGUAACAGCUCACUGGUCUAAACAAGGGUUCCUGCGGCGAAGAUGUAACGGGGCUAAAGAUAUGCACCCGAAGCUUAGGGUUCAGAAUUUAUUCUGAGCGGUAGCGGAGCGUUCCGUAAGCGAGUGAAGGCGAAGGGUAACCGACGCUGGACGUAUCGGAAGUGCGAAUGCUGACAUGAGUAGCGACAAACAGGGUGAGAUGCCCUGUCGCCGAAAGACCAAGGGUUCCUGCGCAACGCUAAUCGGCGCAGGGUUAGCCGGCCCCUAAGACGAGCCCGAAGGGGGUAGUCGAUGGGAACCACGUAAAUAUUCGUGGGCCUGAAGAUGUGUGACGGAUCGUGGAAGUUGUUUUCUCUUAUUGGAUUGAGAGGGCAGCCAAGCGGUUCCAGGAAAUAGCCUCUUCACUAUAGACCGUACCCGAAACCGACACAGGUGGUCAGGUAGAGUAUACCAAGGCGCUUGAGAGAAGUAUCCUGAAGGAACUCGGCAAAUUGCCUCCGUACCUUCGGAAGAAGGAGGCCCCAUAUCGACGCAAGUCUUUGUGGGGGGCACAGGCCAGGGGGUAGCGACUGUUUAGCAAAAACACAGCACUCUGCUAAGUCGGCUUCAAGACGACGUAUAGGGUGUGACGCCUGCCCGGUGCUCGAAGGUUAAGAGGAGGAGUGCAAGCUCCGAAUUGAAGCCCGAGUAAACGGCGGCCGUAACUAUAACGGUCCUAAGGUAGCGAAAUUCCUUGUCGGGUAAGUUCCGACCUGCACGAAUGGCGUAACGACUUCCCCACUGUCUCCAGGAUAUGCUCAGCGAAAUUGAAUUCUCCGUGAAGAUGCGGAGUACCCGCGGUUAGACGGAAAGACCCCGUGCACCUUUACUGCAGCUUCAGAGUGGCAUUAGGAAAUUACUGUGUAGAAUAGGUGGGAGGCUUUGAAACAUCGGCGCCAGCUGGUGUGGAGCCAACCUGUGAAAUACCACCCUGUGAUUUUCUGAUGUCUAACCACGCACCGUUAUCCGGUGUUGGGACCCUCUGUGGCGGGUAGUUUGACUGGGGCGGUCGCCUCCUAAAGAGUAACGGAGGCGCGCGAUGGUAUGCUCAGGACGGUUGGAAACCGUCUGCAAGAGUGCAAUGGCAUAAGCAUGCCUGACUGCGAGACCGACAGGUCGAGCAGAGACGAAAGUCGGUCAUAGUGAUCCGGUGGUCCCUCGUGGAAGGGCCAUCGCUCAACGGAUAAAAGGUACGCCGGGGAUAACAGGCUGAUGAUUCCCAAGAGCUCAUAUCGACGGAAUCGUUUGGCACCUCGAUGUCGGCUCAUCACAUCCUGGGGCUGGAGCAGGUCCCAAGGGUUUGGCUGUUCGCCAAUUAAAGUGGUACGUGAGCUGGGUUCAGAACGUCGCGAGACAGUUUGGUCCCUAUCUGCCGUGGGCGUCGAUUGUUGAAAGGAGUUGCCCCUAGUACGAGAGGACCGGGGUGAACAUACCUCUGGUGUACCUGUCAUCCUGCCAAGGGUGCCGCAGGGUAGCUAUGUAUGGACGGGAUAACCGCUGAAAGCAUCUAAGCGGGAAGCCUCCCUUGAGAUAAGCAAUCUUCGAACCGUCAUAGACCAUGACGUUGAUAGGCCGGGUGUGGAAGCGCAGUAAUGCGUGUAGCUAACCGGUCCUAAUAGUUCUUUUCGCGCUU
rnacentral:rRNA from 1 species